GAUGAACGCUGGCGGCGUGCUUAACACAUGCAAGUCGAACGGAAAGGCCCAAGCUUGCUUGGGUACUCGAGUGGCGAACGGGUGAGUAACACGUGGGUGAUCUGCCCUGCACUUCGGGAUAAGCCUGGGAAACUGGGUCUAAUACCGGAUAGGACGAUGGUUUGGAUGCCAUUGUGGAAAGUUUUUUCGGUGUGGGAUGAGCUCGCGGCCUAUCAGCUUGUUGGUGGGGUAAUGGCCUACCAAGGCGUCGACGGGUAGCCGGCCUGAGAGGGUGUACGGCCACAUUGGGACUGAGAUACGGCCCAGACUCCUACGGGAGGCAGCAGUGGGGAAUAUUGCACAAUGGGCGCAAGCCUGAUGCAGCGACGCCGCGUGGGGGAUGACGGCCUUCGGGUCGUAAACUCCUUUCGCUAGGGACGAAGCGUUUUUGUGACGGUACCUGGAGAAGAAGCACCGGCUAACUACGUG
rnacentral:rRNA from 1 species